rnacentral:rRNA from 1 species
GCCCAGACUCCUACGGGAGGCAGCAGUGGGGAAUAUUGCACAAUGGGCGAAAGCCUGAUGCAGCAACGCCGCGUGAGGGAUGACGGCCUUCGGGUUGUAAACCUCUUUUAGCAGGGAAGAAGCGAAAGUGACGGUACCUGCAGAAAAAGCGCCGGCUAACUACGCGCCAGCAGCCGCGGUAAUACGUAGGGCGCAAGCGUUAUCCGGAAUUAUUGGGCGUAAAGAGCUCGUAGGCGGUUUGUCGCGUCUGCUGUGAAAUCCCGAGGCUCAACCUCGGGCCUGCAGUGGGUACGGGCAGACUAGAGUGCGGUAGGGGAGAUUGGAAUUCCUGGUGUAGCGGUGGAAUGCGCAGAUAUCAGGAGGAACACCGAUGGCGAAGGCAGAUCUCUGGGCCGUAACUGACGCUGAGGAGCGAAAGGGUGGGGAGCAAACAGGCUUAGAUACCCUGGUAGUCCACCCCGUAAACGUUGGGAACUAGUUGUGGGGUCCAUUCCACGGAUUCCGUGACGCAGCUAACGCAUUAAGUUCCCCGCCUGGGGAGUACGGCCGCAAGGCUAAAACUCAAAGGAAUUGACGGGGACCCGCACAAGCGGCGGAGCAUGCGGAUUAAUUCGAUGCAACGCGAAGAACCUUACCAAGGCUUGACAUAUACGAGAACGGGCCAGAAAUGGUCAACUCUUUGGACACUCGUAAACAGGUGGUGCAUGGUUGUCGUCAGCUCGUGUCGUGAGAUGUUGGGUUAAGUCCCGCAACGAGCGCAACCCUCGUUCUAUGUUGCCAGCACGUAAUGGUGGGAACUCAUGGGAUACUGCCGGGGUCAACUCGGAGGAAGGUGGGGAUGACGUCAAAUCAUCAUGCCCCUUAUGUCUUGGGCUUCACGCAUGCUACAAUGGCCGGUACAAAGGGCUGCAAUACCGUGAGGUGGAGCGAAUCCCAAAAAGCCGGUCCCAGUUCGGAUUGAGGUCUGCAACUCGACCUCAUGAAGUCGGAGUCGCUAGUAAUCGCAGAUCAGCAACGCUGCGGUGAAUACGUUCCCGGGUCUUGUACACACCGCCCGUCAAGUCAUGAAAGUCGGUAACACCUGAAGCCGGUGGCCUAACCCUUGUGGAGGGAGCCGUCGAAG